rnacentral:rRNA from 1 species
UUUCAUACUAAAUCGGUAUAUCUCAUGUCUACGCUGGCCGCCAUGUGACAGGCCGCGGGAAUUCGAUUAGAGUUUGAUCCUGGCUCAUAAUAUAAGGAGCGCUGGCGGCAUGCCUUACACAUGCAAGUCGAACGGCAGCGCGGACUUCGGUCUGGCGGCGAGUGGCGAACGGGUGAGUAAUACAUCGGAACGUACCCUGUUGUGGGGGAUAACUAGUCGAAAGAUUAGCUAAUACCGCAUACGACCUGAGGGUGAAAGUGGGGGACCGCAAGGCCUCACGCAGCAGGAGCGGCCGAUGUCUGAUUAGCUAGUUGGUGGGGUAAAGGCCCACCAAGGCGACGAUCAGUAGCUGGUCUGAGAGGACGAUCAGCCACACUGGGACUGAGACACGGCCCAGACUCCUACGGGAGGCAGCAGUGGGGAAUUUUGUACCAUGGGGUCAACCCUGAUCCUCCCCUGCCGCGUGCGUGAAGAUGGCCUUCGGGUUAAGGUUCGCUUCUGUUCGGAGACAUUACUCGAUGUUUUAAUAACUGGGAUGUGAGACGGUCCUGGAAGACCUGGUGGCCCCUUUCCCUUUUCGGCACCUAAGGGAUUUCUGGCUCGGUGAGUGCAUUGUCAGGGGUAAGGUAAGGUUUUUCCGGGUGCAUCCAAUUAAUCCCAAUUGUUCCACCGUUGGUGGGGUUCCCCGUCAUAUCCUUGAGAUUUAUCCUGGGAACCGUAUCCCCCAUGGGUUCAAUUUUCCCCGUUAGCUCCAUGUUCUGGAAAAAUAAUUUCCCCCCAUCCCGUUUGGUAUCCUGUUGGGGCGGGGGGGAUCAGGGGUAUUCUCAUCCUGUGUGUCUCCUCCCGUUUUUUUGGGUAAAGAAUAUUCCGCGCCCCCAAGGGGGUCCUCUCUGCCCCAGGUUUACUCCCCCCUCCUCUCCCACUUAUAUCGUAGCCGCGGAGAUGAAUCCUCCCCCUCUGGAGAUCCCUGCCUUGGAUGGUCAAUAUAAUUUUUCAUCGUAUGAGCCCCGGGCUGUUGUAUUCUUGGGCUUAUCUAAAAAUAAAGUGCAUGGCGUCGUCUCUACAUAUUAUAUAUAUAUUGUUGUGGUGGUGUACCUCCCGGUUUCCCCGUUCCCCCCGCCGGGUAGAAUUUAAAGGAGAAUUACCUUUUUGUUGUUUAAUUUAAUUUAAGCA